GGGUGGGUAUGGAGGACCUUUGGGAUAGCAUUGAAAAUGUAAACGAGGAAAAUACCUAAUUUAAAAAAAAAAACAAAAAACAAAAAAAAAAAAACCAACCAAACAAAAAAGAAUACUCUGAAAUGCUUGCAGACAAGAACCUAGCAUAAUACUCUCCUGAGAGGCUUCAUCCAUCAGCAGAUGGAUGUAGAUGCAGAGACCCACCACCAAACAUCAGGAGGAUUCCCCUAGAGUUUUGUGGAAGCGUAGGUGAUAGAAGUGAGAAAGUCAGAAGGGCCAAGGACAUCAUAAAAAGACUCAGAGUCAACGAGUCUAGGACUAUGGGGGCUCACAGAGCCUUGGCCACCAACCAAGAACCACACAGGAACUGGACUUAGACUCCCUACUCAUUUGUAGCAAAUGUGCAGCAUAAUCUUCAUGUGCAUCCCCUAACAAUUGGUGCAGCGGCUGUCUUGGUCCCUGUUCCUUGGCAUUGGAUCCCCUUCCCCAUACCUGAACUGCCAGUUUGGACCUCAGUAGGAGAAGAUGUGCCUAGUCCUGCUGAGACUAGAUAUCCCAGGCUGGGGUGGUAUUCAAGAGGAACUCCCCUUCUCUAAGGAGAAGGGGAAGGGGCAAUGGGUGGGGGAGAUUUGUAAGGGUGGGCCUGGGAAUAGAGGAAGGAGGGGGGCUGAGAGGCAGAUAUAAAGUAAAUAAUCUUUUUAAAAAAAGAAUAAUGCUGGCUGUAACACGGGACAAUAUAGAAGUGGAAGCAACUACAUUAAAAUUGGAGAAAAUUGGGAAGACUAAAAGCACACAUAACACAUGACAAGUAGCAAUACUUGUAAACUGGCACUGGUCUGGCUCCUAGUACUACUAUUGAUGCUGGAUUUCAGAGGAGAGUGAUACACAUUUGUGUGGGGAAUGGAAAAUCCUAGUGGAAAGAAGACAAUCCUAGACUUAAAGAAAUAACUGCCUUACUAAAAGUACAGCUAUGAGAUUCACUUUAGAAGUCACAAAUUUACCCAUAUGCUUUCUAAACUGGUGAGUAUUUAUGCUUGGGCCAUGAGAAGAAGCAACAGAAUAGAUGAUUUUGAUGAAGAGGCCAUAGAAAUGGAAAACUCUGAUGCCCAACCACUGCUAAGUGAGGUAAUGUAAUGGUAAAAAGGACAAUAUUUCAUUAAUAUCAAGUCAGUUGAUCUGUGAAAAUAAAUGGAGUUACCAUAGACAUAGAGGUAUCACAGCUGGAUGGUGAUCAUACACGCCUUUAAUCCCAGCACUUGGGAAGGAGAGGCAGGCAAAUCUCUGAGGUUAAGGCCAGCUAGUUCCUCGGGGUGAGUUUCAGGGUGGCCAGGGCUACCAUGGGAAACCCUGUUUCAAAAAACCCAAACUAAAACAAAACAGAAAGGAUGGAAGGAAAAAGAGAAAGGAAGGGAGGUAGGAAGGUAUCAGCAUCUUUAGUGUGAUUCUGAUGUCUGUGCUGCAUUGUAUUUACAUGGCCAAAGGCUGGGAAAGUCGAGGGAAAUUUAAAUAUUAUGCCCACACUGUGAAUC
rnacentral:lncRNA from 1 species